AUUGAACGCUGGCGGCAGGCUUAACACAUGCAAGUCGAGCGAGUGGCGGACGGGUGAGUCAUGCUUGGGAAUCUGGCUUAUGGAGGGGGAUAACUACUGGAAACUGUAGCUAAUACCGCAUACCAUCGGAUGAGCCCACGUGGGAUUAGUUAGUUGGUGGGGUAAAGGCUCACCAAGGCGACGAUCCCUAGCUGGUCUGAGAGGAUGACCAGCCACACUGGAACUGAGACACGGCCCAGACUCCUACGGGAGGCAGCAGUGGGGAAUAUUGCGCAAUGGGGGCAACCCGGAUGCAGCCAUGCCGCGUGAAUGAAGAAGGCCUUCGGGUUGUAAAGUACUUUCGGUAGGGAGGCGUGAACCGCAGAAGAAGCACCGGCUAACUCCGUGCCAGCAGCCGCGGUAAUUC
rnacentral:rRNA from 1 species